rnacentral:rRNA from 1 species
GAUGAACGCUGGCGGCGUGCCUAAUACAUGCAAGUCGAGCGAACAGACGAGGAGCUUGCUCCUCUGACGUUAGCGGCGGACGGGUGAGUAACACGUGGAUAACCUACCUAUAAGACUGGGAUAACUUCGGGAAACCGGAGCUAAUACCGGAUAAUAUAUUGAACCGCAUGGUUCAAUAGUGAAAGACGGUUUUGCUGUCACUUAUAGAUGGAUCCGCGCCGCAUUAGCUAGUUGGUAAGGUAACGGCUUACCAAGGCAACGAUGCGUAGCCGACCUGAGAGGGUGAACGGCCACACUGGAACUGAGACACGGUCCAGACUCCUUCGGGAGGCAGAAGUAGGGAAUCUUUCGCAAUGGGCGAAAGCCUGAAGGAGCAACGCCGGGUGAGUGAUGAAGGUCUUCGGAUCGUAAAACUCUGUUAUUAGGGAAGAACAAAUGUGUAAGUAACUAUGCACGUCUUGACGGUACCUAAUCAGAAAGCCACGGCUAACUACGUG